GGAUGCAGCCCAUUAGCGGCAUGCUGACGAGAGGGGGAAGAGAAGGGGGGAAGAGGAGGCCAAGAAGGAGGCGCCAUUCUUACCGUCGCCCUUCAGACGUCGACCUGUGGGCCCGGCGCUCAGGAAUGCUGCAGGGAAGAAAGCGACCAGCAUUCCGGUGAGGAUGGAGAAGAGGCCGACUCCUCCAGCAUGAGCCAUUCCCGUUGUGUUCCCACUUUCCAAUGGCAGAUGACUCGGAUUCAGGAUGUAGGGUGACAGCCUGCUACCUGAGGGGCACUGACAGCUGCACCUCAUUCCAGUGAUUACCUAAUGUCAUAUAACCACCCUAUGCAGUCUGCUCAGUGCGAGGAAUUGACUCAUGCAUCAUUACCAAGGGUCUACUACCUCCCCGGGUUUCUGCAGAGUCCCGUGUGUUGGCUUUUCCCGCCCCCUGCCCGGUGAUGUUUCCUAACCCUGCUGCCAGUACAUAUGCGUUUCUCUGCUUUCCCAUGUUGGCCCGAGUGCCUGUCUUUCCUGGCAUCCCAAAGACAGACCUUUUAGCUGACUGAUCCUGGACCGUACCUACAACUUCGACUCCUGUCUCUCAUUUUUGACUUUUUUUUGCUGUGCAUCUGGAUAUAUGAUCCCAGGGGUUUUUGGAACUGAACAAAUCCUGGUUCUCAUUAGCAUUAAGUCACACUGGCAUCUACAACUAAAGUUUUAUAGUAAUAAUCUUCAAACACAUUCCUAAUAUAUAUUCUUAUAAACAGGAGAAACAUUAAGGUGUGUGUGUAUAUGUAUUCAUACACACACAGACCUGUACUAACAUCUUUGUGGGGACCGUGAAUUCAUUUCUAUGGGCAAAACCCUAAUCCCAACAAUGACAACCAUAACCAAACAAAAUAUAUCUCUUUUGCCAUUUUUAGUUUUUUAUUGCAGUCAUUGAUUUUUAUAAAAUAGAAUUUUCCCUUGUGAGGACAGAAAAAAUGGUCAGCACAACGUCAGAAUAACAUUUUUUUUUUAUUAUUAUUACAUUUGAUCCCCACAAUGUAAUAGGCCUAUUUGUCCCCCACACACGUUCUUAGGUCUGUGUACAUUGACUCAAGUAACUGUUCUCUGCCUGCGUUGCUGAGUUGUUAAGCAUUACAUAUAGAACUAAUUCGCCUACCAAAUGACAAUCAGAAACCCAAAAAACGUUUUUCAGAUAUGAUGCGACCUGCUACACCAUUGACGAUGUGCUGCAGUGCGUGGAUGAUAC